UGGCAUGAUUCGACUUUUGUUUGGGAGGAGGGAUAGACGCUGUUUGUGUCAUCAGCAGCAACAACAACAACAAAAAAAUCACUCUUUUGUGGGAAUCUAGAAAGGAGAAGUGUGAAAGGAAUGAAGACAGAGAUGAGCAUAUGGCUGGUAUGGCUUGAAUCUUAAACAUCUCCACACAGGCUCCUGUGUUUGAACACCUGGUUCUAAGAUAGUGGUACUGUUUUAUGAUGCUGUGGAAUCUUCAGUUGUACUUGGCUGCUUGAGAGGGGACACCGGGGACAGAUUUUUGAAUGUCAUUGUGCAGCCUUGUUUCUGGACUGUCUGUAUGCUUCCUGGUCCGUUGGACAUGUGAGGAACUCUGUGAUGUGCUCCUGUCUCCAAGGUCAGAGGUGCUUCAGUCAUUGGUGCUCCCAUGAUGAGAAACUGAAAUCCUUCUAGACCUGUGAGACAAAAUAAACCUCUCCUCCCUUGA